AUGAAUAAAACCUUCUAUGGUUAUACACCCAAUGAAAGUGGUUUGUUGAAUCUCGAUCGUAGUGAUACACAUAUUCAUAAUAUUGAAGCCAAAAGAUGCAAAGUUAAUAAUGAUAAUGCAACUUAUUUGUGGCACUGCCGUUUAGGUCAUAUUGGUGUAAAGCGCAUGAAGAAAAUCCAUGCUGAUGGGCUUUUGGAAUCACUUGAUUAUGAAUCAGUUGAUGCUUGCGAACCAUGCCUCAUGGGCAAGAUGACUAAGACUCCGUUCACCGGAACAAUGGAGCGAGCAACAGAUUUGGUGGAAAUCAUACAUACUGAUGUAUGUUGUCCGAUGAAUAUUGAGGCUCGCGGCAGGUAUCAUUAUUUUCUGAUCUUC
rnacentral:rRNA from 1 species